rnacentral:misc_RNA from 1 species
GCGGUGCUGAUUAGGGGUUGUUCUUACUCUCCCUUGCAAUUAUUUUGUACUUGUAGGGGUGCAUGUAGGCACGGUCCUUGUGAUGCGGUACGUGAUGGUGUGUGAGUGGUAUUUGGUUUGUGUGGUUGGCGGGCUCUUUGCUUGUGCAUUGGACCGUUCACCAACAUACCUUUUCAUUGUAUGCUGCAAGUGCACCAUUUUGCCUUGGGCGACGUGUGGUCCCUAUGUUGGAUUCCGAUUAACGGUAUUGUUGUUGUCCCUUUAAAGAGUGAURUUCGCUCUACGUCCGUAAAAGGAGGUCGAGCGGACCAUGAAACUUGACUCGUUAUCCUCCUGUUUUGUGAAAACAAGCAUGAUAGGGUUGGAUUAUGAUCUCAAGUUGGGCCCUAGGAUACAGAAAGUUGUGUGGGAGUUGAUGUAAAAACGUCGCAAACCCAAAGCGUUGGUACGCUAAUGAUGGAUGACAUUCGAGUGUGUUGUGAUUCUUUCAUUCUAGAAAGGUUCAUGCUCGCCGAUGUCGACCAAGGAGUGCUACCUGGUUGAUCCUGCCAGUAGUCAUAUGCUUGUCUCAAAGAUUAAGCCAUGCAUGUGUAAGUAUGAAC